AUCAGUGGAAACAGCACGUUGAAUCCUUACAGAUAAGUGAAAUUAAGCAACGUUGACCGUGGUUAGUACCUGUAUGGGUGACCAUCUGGGGAAUCCGCGUGCUGCUGGGU
rnacentral:rRNA from 1 species